GUCGUUGAGGCUAAGGUAACCAGAGUAAGAGUAUUCCAGCAGCUCUUUGUCUUUGUACCAGCUGUAAGAAGACAGAAUGAGGAAAGGAAUGGUCAUAGUCCAGUUCAGUCGGUGGACCUCAGCUGAUAACAAGGUGACGAGGGAGCUGAAGAGGCAGUUGAAGAGCCUGGGUUGGAGCCACAACAAAGUCUACCUUGGAUAAAGGAAAAACAUCAUAGGCGCCACAAAUGAAGUAAAACAAUGACAAGGAACACAAUUAGGCCUACAGUCUGUAGCUUGGCAAUGGAAAGAAUGCUGAGAUGUUCACUGUGGAAAUGAAUUGUACUUUGAUUUACAAACAAAAUGUGAGUUGUGAGAUUGGACAAAACAUUUGACUUUGGGCAGCAGCACAGUAGAGCAAUGGUUAGCACUCCAGCCUUGCAGCAUUAGGGUCCCAAGUUUAACAUCAGUCAGGGGGUUAGCUACAAGAAGUCAGCUUAGGGAGUAAGUAUUCAGAGGAAACUUGAAAAGCAUUCAAGCAUAUGUCAAAUUAUUUUUACCAAUGCACGGAGAUUGUUCAUUAAUGGUCUUAAAUCAUGGAGAAUUAUUUAUAACUUCUCCUACAAUAAAACCUGGUGCAAGGGCCAAUAUCAUUACAUAUCAUAUAUGAUAUUUAUUAUACAGUAUACUGUAUAUUGCUGCCACAUGGUAGCUGAAAACGUGGCAAAUGUGUUAAUGCAAGUUAGUACUCAUUUGUAAGGCAAACUAAAGGCAUCUAAUCACAGGUUGUGGUAAAGAUUUCAGCCUAUUUCCCUGUGCAUUUCCGCUAUACUUGAUACUGUAAGAUUCACUUAGGGAAAUGGUGAUGGCAUUUGCUGAUCAUUUUCAAGGUGGCUUUCUACAACACCGCACUAGAGACAACAUCAUUGGCAAUGCAGGCUACAAAGGAAGGGGUUGCAAAUGUUUUGUGUCUGUCCUAUGUGUGUGGUUCAACAGUUUUACUUGCAAAUGUCUUGGGAAGACCUUGACUUUAGGGAAAUAGCGAUGUUCACUGUUUAGCUGGAGUCAGAACAAAAUCGCCCAGCGAUGGUAUAUAAAGCUCAAACUAAAUGCUGGGUCAAGUCAGGCUAAUGAAGUUGUUUUGCCCCGCAGGCCAAUAAUUGGAUCAUAAUAGGGGCCUAUGCAGACCUUUCGGAGGUGGGGUCCUCUCCCAACAGGAUUUUUAAACCUGUACAAUAAAUAUAAGUGCCCAUCUGACCAGACAUUGGAAUCAGUUUGGAAUCAUACAUUGGCCAAUAUUUUACCUACUGGAUAUCCAGGGGCCAAGUAGGUACAGUAUCUAAUAUUGACCUGCAUGUCUUGGAAAACACAGUUGAAGUUUACCAGUGAUGUCCAAAGAUCUUCUACAUUUCUUUUUUUUUUACAUUAAACAGCAGAAUGGCCUCUA